rnacentral:rRNA from 1 species
UACAGAGGGGGCCAGCGUUAUUCGGAAUCAUUGGGCGUAAAGGGCGCGUAGGCGGCCGAUCAAGUCGGAGGUGAAAUCCCUCGGCUCAACUGAGGAAUUGCCUUCGAUACUGUUCAGCUUGAGUCCUGGAGAGGGUAGCGGAAUUCCCGGUGUAGCGGUGAAAUGCGCAGAUAUCAGGAGGAACACCGGUGGCGAAGGCGGAUCUCUGGGCCUUACCUGACGCUGAGGCGCGAAAGCUAGGGGAGCGAACAGG